rnacentral:rRNA from 1 species
GUCUAAGGUGAUACCACCCUGAACACACUCUAUCUCGUCUGAUCUCGGAAGCUAAGCAGGGUUGGUACUGGAUGGUACUUGGAUGGGAGAAAAUCUGCCUAGGGUA